rnacentral:tRNA from 1 species
AAACAACCGCCGGUUGAACGGAAAUCAUUGAUGUUGAUUAAUAAGAAAUUUUUAUUUCGUUGUUUA